rnacentral:rRNA from 1 species
CCUGGUAACCAUAGAGACAUUGAACCACCUGAUCCCAUCCCGAACUCAGAAGUGAAAAGUGUCAUCGCCGAUGAUAGUGUGGGGCUUCCCCAUGUGAAAGUAGGUCAUUGCCAGGA